CUGGUAUUUGACAUGGCCCCGUGAGCUGAUUCCAGAGGUGGUUCACCAACCUCACUCCCCACAGCAUUACGUCUCUGCCUCCACCGUCUACUCUUUUGCUGAGAGCAAUGGGGUUUGCCAUCUUCUCGGCAGCAGUCGUAUUCUUCAGGGGAACCUCCUUCAUUCCUAGCUCACUUGAUUUGUAUGCCUUCCCCCCCCCCCCCCCAGCUCCCCACCUUAUCUUGGCCGCUUUUGUCUGUGACCUGUUCGGAGGAUCUCAGCCUUCGUUGGGCGGGGCUCGCUUCACGGC